rnacentral:rRNA from 1 species
UACGAAGGGGGCUAGCGUUGCUCGGAAUGACUGGGCGUAAAGGGCGCGUAGGCGGAUGGCUUUGUCGGGCGUGAAAUUCCAGGGCUUAACCUUGGGGCUGCGUUCGAGACGGGUUGUCUUGAGUGGGGAAGAGGGUCGUGGAAUUCCCAGUGUAGAGGUGAAAUUCGUAGAUAUUGGGAAGAACACCAGUGGCGAAGGCGGCUCACUGGCCCGAUACUGACGCUGAGGCACGAAAGCGUGGGGAGCAAACAGG